ACGAGGCACUACGGUGCUGAAGCAACAAAUGCCCUGCUUCCAGGAAAAGCCUCUAAGCAUCAGGUAACACGAAAUCGUACCCCAAACCGACACAGGUGGUCAGGUAGAGAAUACCAAGGCGCUUGAGAGAACUCGGGUGAAGGAACUAGGCAAAAUGGUGCCGUAACUUCGGGAGAAGGCACGCUGACACGUAGGUGAAGUGAUUUACUCAUGGAGCUGAAGUCAGUCGAAGAUACCAGCUGGCUGCAACUGUUUAUUAAAAACACAGCACUGUGCAAACACGAAAGUGGACGUAUACGGUGUGACGCCUGCCCGGUGCCGGAAGGUUAAUUGAUGGGGUCAGCGCAAGCGAAGCUCCUGAUCGAAGCCCCGGUAAACGGCGGCCGUAACUAUAACGGUCCUAAGGUAGCGAAAUUCCUUGUCGGGUAAGUUCCGACCUGCACGAAUGGCGUAAUGAUGGCCAGGCUGUCUCCACCCGAGACUCAGUGAAAUUGAACUCGCUGUGAAGAUGCAGUGUACCCGCGGCAAGACGGAAAGACCCCGUGAACCUUUACUAUAGCUUGACACUGAACAUUGAGCCUUGAUGUGUAGGAUAGGUGGGAGGCUUUGAAGUGUGGACGCCAGUCUGCAUGGAGCCGACCUUGAAAUACCACCCUUUAAUGUUUGAUGUUCUAACGUGGACCCGUAAUCCGGGUUGCGGACAGUGUCUGGUGGGUAGUUUGACUGGGGCGGUCUCCUCCUAAAGAGUAACGGAGGAGCACGAAGGUUGGCUAAUCCUGGUCGGACAUCAGGAGGUUAGUGCAAUGGCAUAAGCCAGCUUGACUGCGAGCGUGACGGCGCGAGCAGGUGCGAAAGCAGGUCAUAGUGAUCCGGUGGUUCUGAAUGGAAGGGCCAUCGCUCAACGGAUAAAAGGUACUCCGGGGAUAACAGGCUGAUACCGCCCAAGAGUUCAUAUCGACGGCGGUGUUUGGCACCUCGAUGUCGGCUCAUCACAUCCUGGGGCUGAAGUAGGUCCCAAGGGUAUGGCUGUUCGCCAUUUAAAGUGGUACGCGAGCUGGGUUUAGAACGUCGUGAGACAGUUCGGUCCCUAUCUGCCGUGGGCGCUGGAGAACUGAGGGGGGCUGCUCCUAGUACGAGAGGACCGGAGUGGACGCAUCACUGGUGUUCGGGUUGUCAUGCCAAUGGCACUGCCCGGUAGCUAAAUGCGGAAGAGAUAAGUGCUGAAAGCAUCUAAGCACGAAACUUGCCCCGAGAUGAGUUCUCCCUGAGACUUAGAGUCUCCUGAAGGAACGUUGAAGACGACGACGUUGAUAGGCCGGGUGUGUAAGCGCAGCGAUGCGUUGAGCUAACCGGUACUAAUGAACCGUGAGGCUUAACC
rnacentral:rRNA from 1 species